rnacentral:rRNA from 1 species
UUAUCAAGAUACUUUGGAGUGAGUACUAAUGUACAAAAAAAAAAUAUAAAAAAAAGAUCAAAACCUUAAACGGGGGAUCACUUGGCUCAUGGGUCGAUGAAGACCGCAGCAAACUGCGUGUCAC